AAUGGCCUCAAGUUGUGCCAGGGAGGUUCAGGUUGGAUAUUAGGAAAAAUUUCUUCCCAGAAAGCUUGGUGAAGCACUGGCACAGACUGCCCAGGAAGGUGUUGGAAUCACAGAAUCACAGAACUGUAGGGGUUGGAAGGGACCUCCAGAGAUCAUCAAGUCCAACCUCCAAAUCACCAUCCCUGGAGCUGUUCGGGAAACACUGGGAUGUGGCAUUGAGAAACAUGGAUAGUGAGUGUAGUGAUGAUGAGCUGAUGGUUGGACAGAUCAUCCGAUCUUAGCGGUCUUUUCCAACUGUAAUAAUUCUACGACUUUGUUUGACUCUGCUAGCACCGACGUGGGCUGCUUGGACAUCCAGACACGGCUCCAGGGCUGCUGCGGUCUGCAAAUCCACCCAAGAGACUCAGGAAAUUUUGCCAGAUGGAACUCUCAGAAAAACCAGCAGUUGUGGACAAGGGGCCUUCAGGCCUGAGUUGAGGUCUGCUCCUUUUACCAAGGCUAGUCUACAUGCUACACUUUGGAAACCAUUGCAGAAAGUCAAACAAAAUAUAUCUCGAUGUUUACUCUAUGGUGAAGAGGAGCUCCAGAAUCUAGCAAAAAGCUGUAUCAACAGAAGGUGCAAAAGUACAUUUCAAGCUCACAAUGUCACAAAAAGGUUAAAGAUCAUGUUUUACUUGUGGUAUGUAAGCCAGUUCAGUUUCUGUACUGCGCGCUUGCAAACAUGCAAUAAAUAAACAGAAUAAACGUAUGAAAAAUGGAACAAUAAAAGCUUAUUGGUUAAGUAAAUGCAGAAAAGUGUUUUUCAGAGAGAAACGGAAGAAACUGCAAUCAUUAGUUUAAACUUUUCAUAGGCUUGGGUUAAGAUAAAAAAAAAGUAACCAAUUCAUGUGUAAAUACAUAGAGUGAAAAAGCC
ensembl:lncRNA